rnacentral:rRNA from 1 species
AUGAUUUUUCCAAACAACACCAUUAUGGUAAACAGCUAUGCUAAUAAGGGUCAGGAGAACAAUAGAGAUGCUAAGAGUCAACCUUUUGGGGUUAAGGAUAUAAACAACAACAGGGCUUAUGAGUCCGAAGAGGGCUUGAGUGUCCUCUUUUGGUUCUUGAAGCCUGCACUUUCCUGGUGGAGUAGCAGCAGAAUAUAUUCAGAGGCUUUAAAGCUAUUGCACUUCACGUAG